ACGAACGCUGGCGGCGUGCUUAACACAUGCAAGUCGAACGGUGAAGCGCCUUCCUUUUUGGUGGGUGUGGAUGAGUGGCGAACGGGUGAGUAACACGUGAGUAACCUGCCCCCUUCUUCUGGAUAACCGCAUGAAAGUGUGGCUAAUACGGGAUAUUCUGGGUCUGUCGCAUGAUGGGUCUGGGAAAGAUAUUGUUUCGGUGGGGGAUGGGCUCGCGGCCUAUCAGCUUGUUGGUGGGGUGAUGGCCUACCAAGGCGGUGACGGGUAGCCGGCCUGAGAGGGUGGACGGUCACACUGGGACUGAGACACGGCCCAGACUCCUACGGGAGGCAGCAGUGGGGAAUAGUGCACAAUGGGCGCAAGGCUGAUGCAGCGACGCCGCGUGAGGGAUGGAGGCCUUCGGGUUGUGAACCUCUUUCGCCAGUGAAGCAGGCCUGCCUCGUUUGUGGGUGGGUUGACGGUAGCUGGAUAAGAAGCGCCGGCUAACUACGUG
rnacentral:rRNA from 1 species